GGUUAGUAUGCAGUGAGAAUGGAGGCAGAGAGCUCGAUUCUCCAGCAGUUCUGGAUCCAAGAAACCGGAAAAAAAAAACAAUUUCUUUUGAUCAAACCAGACAAGUUGUUAAUGUUAGACAGCCCCAGAUAACGAAAAUGCUUGAGAGUAGAAUGCAGAGCCGAGGAAGUUACAAGAAUACUAUAAAAUAACACAUUAGAGAUCACAUCUCAGAGUUUACACUACAGCAAUCUCAGACAGAACAUGAAAACAAUAAAUCUCUGAAGGAAAUCUAUUACAAAUGGAACAGAGAAGAGAAAGCGAGGACUGUAUAAAAUGGUAAAUGGUGUUGCAUUAGGGAUACGGAAAUAUGCCCUUACUCUUGUCGGGAUCAGAGCAGCAACAGAUAGCUUUCUUGUUUGGUGCUAUGGAAUGGACCAAGCACUCAAUCACCAUGCUCUUCACCAGCUUCUUCUUUGCAGGGAAAACACUUCCAGCCUUUGAUUUAAAGCAUGAAUCCUUUGAAGCCUUUGAUCCUUCUCCUCCUUGCUUCAUCUCCAUCUCUCUCUCUCUCUCUCUCUCUCUUUCUGUGUGUUUCUUCAAUGUGUUAAUGUCAUGUUUAAGCUAGUGUGUUGUGCAAAUACUUGACCACAUCAACUGACAGAGGAAACUUCGGGGUUAAGCAUUGUAGAUUAUACAUUUUUCUUGCUUACAUAGAAAAUAGAAGGAAUUUUU
rnacentral:lncRNA from 1 species